rnacentral:lncRNA from 1 species
CACGAUAUUUAAUUUAUUAGACUCCCUACUGAUGUUUUUUUCUAAGGUGUGUUAGUAAUAUAUAAACCAAAAAUGUUUUACAAAAAUAAAAUAAUUUAAAAUGUAUGUUCCUAUGUUUGUCUGUCAUGCAAAUGUAUAUAUGUAUGUGAGUAUACUUCAUAACAUCAUUUAUUAUUUUAUUAUUUUAUUUUUGUUACUAUUCAGUUUUUUCCAAUGGAUUUGUUUGCCAUAGCUAGUUUGGCAAUUUAUAUUUUCUGUUGUUCUUUGUAUGGUAUUAUAAAUGUAGGGAUAAGUGUUUUUUUUAUACCCAUAUUUAAAAUAAAACGGAAGAACACACCUCCUAAGACAUUGCUAGUGGUUUGCUUUGUGGUUAUUCACAUUAUUUUAGUUUCAAUAAUGACAUUAUUAACAGUAAGAAAAAAUAUAUUAAUAUAACAGAGCACAGUAUCCAUUUACUUUUUUUUUUUUUUUUUUUAACUUAUUUUUUUUGCGAAUUUUUUUUUUCUCAGAUUGCACCAAAUUAUACAACUUACGGAAUUCAAAAGAUAAAAAUAAACGUUAGUAAAAAAAAAAAAAAUAAAUAAAU